rnacentral:rRNA from 1 species
ACGGAAGGCAGCAGUGGGGAAUCUUCCGCAAUGGGCGCAAGCCUGACGGAGCAACGCCGCGUGAGUGAAGAAGGUCUUCGGGUCGUAAAGCUCUGUUGAGAGGGACGAGAGAUAAUGUCAGGAAAUGGGCAUUAGAGGACGGUACCUUUCGAGGAAGCCACGGCUAACUACGUGCCAGCAGCCGCGGCAAUACGUAGGUGGCGAGCGUUGUCCGGAAUUAUUGGGCGUAAAGGGAGCGCAGGUGGGAUUGCAAGUCAGUCUUAAAAGUGCGGGGCUCAACCCCGUGAUGGGAUUGAAACUGCAGUUCGUGAGUGCAGGAGAGGAAAGCGGAACUCCUAGUGUAGCGGUGAAAUGCGUAGAUAUUAGGAGGAACACCAGUGGCGAAGGCGGCUUUCUGGACUGUAACUGACACUGAGGCUCGAAAGCGUGGGGAGCGAACAGGAUUAGAUACCCUGGUA